ACCUCUAGCAUUACCAAUAUUAGAGGCACUGCCUGCCCAGUGACUAAAGUUUAACGGCCGCGGUAUCCUGACCGUGCAAAGGUAGCAUAAUCACUUGUUCCUUAAUUGAGGACUAGAAUGAACGGCCACACGAGGGUUUUACUGUCUCUUACUUAUAAUCAGUGAAAUUGACCUCUUCGUGAAGAGGCGAAGAUAAGCAAAUAAGACGAGAAGACCCUAUGGAGCUUAAAUUUAACACCCAUGUUCCACUCUACAACUCCCAGGAGCUCAAUACCCCAACAUUUGGGUAAACAAUUUUGGUUGGGGUGACCUCGGAGCACAAAUAAACCUCCGAGCAUUAUUUACCUAGACUUCACCAGUCAAAGUACAUAAAUAUCGUAUUCAUUGACCCAAACAAUUGAUCAACGAAACAAGUUACCCUAGGGAUAACAGCGCAAUCCUGUUCUAGAGUCCAUAUCGACAACAGGGUUUACGACCUCGAUGUUGGAUCAGGACAUCCCAAUGGUGCAACCGCUAUUAAU
rnacentral:rRNA from 1 species